GGGCCGAGCCGGGGCGGCGGGGGAGCGCCGCGUCCCGCAGCCGCCGGGCCACGCCUGGCCGCCGUGAGCCGGGCACCGGCACCGGGACCUGCACCGGGACCCCUCACCCUGCGCCGGGGCAGCCGGCUGCUCCCCUCCGCGCUGCGCCGCCCUCACCAGGUCCAUGGAGUGACCCCGUGGGGGGGUCCCUGCACCGGCGCAGCCCCCGGCCGCCGGCCCGGCGCUGAGCGAGGCCGCCGCGAACAUGAGCGACUUCUGGCACAAGCUGGGCUGCUGCGUCGUGGAGAAGCCACAGCCGAAGAAGAGGAGGAGACGGAUCGACCGCUCCAUGAUUGGAGAACCCAUGAACUUCGUCCACCUGACGCACAUCGGCUCCGGAGACAUGGCUGCGGGUGAAGGCCUGCCCAUGACUGGUGCUGUCCAGGAGAUGAGAUCCAAGGGUGGACGGGAGCGACAGUGGAACAACUCCCGGGUCUUGUAGCAUGUCCAGCUUACGGACGGCUUCAGCUCCUGGUUGUUGUGGCUGCAGCUCAUUUGCAGCUUCAGGCCCAGCCCCUGGAUGGCUCCAGCUCGUGUCCAUCUCCAGCCCCUCCUCAGCUCCAACUCCGGUCCCAGCCAGCUCCAGCCUGUGCCUGAACUGGGCCUGGCUCGGGGCCGGGUCCCGUGGUUUGAGCCCAGCCGGUAACUCAGAACCACGCAGCUGCUCGAUCACCCCCCGCUUCUUGCCCCCCUGCUCCCGGAGGGAUGGGGAGGAGAAUGGAAAGAAUGUAAAUCCCAUGGGUUGAGAUAAGAGCAGUCCAGUAACUAAGGUACAAUACAAAACCACUACUGCUGCCACCAAUAAUGAUAAGGGAAAUAACAAGGGGAGAGAAUAUAAAACUAAAAGGGGAAAAGAAAACAAUAAACACAAGUGAUGCCCAA
rnacentral:lncRNA from 1 species